UUUUGUUUUUUGAAUGCUUUUACUCAAAUUCAGUCUGCAUCUAUCUGGAUGGCCUUUUCCAGGAGCUGCCAUCCUGGUGCUGAUUAGACUGCAUCAAGGGAUGUGGCAUUCCUGCUGCAGGUCCUAUGGGGCUCCAUAGCAGGUACAGGAGAGCAUUGGUCUGAUGGGAAAUGAAAUAUUCCUUUUGGAUGCUGGAGAUUAAGCUUAAAAAAAAGCCAGGGGGGGAAGCUGUUUACAAAUCCCCGUUUCAUUGUCCCACACAGCCCUGCUGAGAUGUGCCUCCUGCCCUGUGGAUUGCAGCAAGGAGGCUGGACUGGUUGUCAGUCACGUAGAGCCUGUGGUUUUCUAGUGGUGUGGCCGUUUUUCCCCAGUGGAGAAGCAGCAGGAUAUGUCCAACUGAGGAGCAGAAACACAGGAGAGGAGGUGCAUGACUGCAGCCUGGAGGGUAGACCUGGGAAAGCCCACUGCUCUGCUGCCCAGAGCUCGAGGGACAGCAGAGAGCAGGAAGGCAGAAGUUUUGUAGCACUGUUUAUGUUUGUAGGAAGAUAAGCAAGCCUCAGCAUUGCCUGUAUACUGGUGACAGACGAUGGGAGCCACGCAUGGUGAAAAUGGCUAUGAGGCAUGUCCACAGCAGGAACCAAGCAGGAGAAGUCCAGUCUAUAGAGAAGAUGACACUUUUACCUCCUAUGGGUUUGAGGUCAGCUGGGCAGAAGGCAGCUGGACCAAGCUGGCAGUGCAUACUUUUGCACUUCAGCUUCAGGGACUGCUCUAGCAGUGCUGGUUUCAUCAACAGCAUCUUGUGCUGGCUGCCUCCAUCGUUAGUUCUUCCCACUGGGGUUUCUGAGACAGCUGCUUAUGCCAAGAUCAAAACAAUAUAAAAGACUUCAGACCUAAUGACAGAAUGAAUACUGUGUACUUCUUUAUGGGCCAAUAGUCUAAAGAACAAUCCUUCAUUACUUGAUGCAUAAUUAUUUUUCAUUCUUUAAAAAUACAGCAAAAUUCCAGUCUUCAGACCAGGAGAAUUUUGCAAUUAAGAAGCUUUGAAGUGGAGUAGAAAUAAGGAGCCAGGGAGCACAAGCACUUCAGUACAAGCUACCAAAUAAAGAACAUAUAGCAAAUGAUAAACUUGUCUAACACUUCACGUAGCACUUGAAUGCUCUAAGCAUUCUCCUAAAAUGUUUUCAAUGGGCCAAUUGAACUGUUAUAGCUGGAGGUAUAAGGGGUGAGAAGUUUUAGUUUUGGCCAAUAGUAUCUGAUCAGUCCAGAAGAAAAUACAAUUUCUCCUUGUUCUUUGAUUAAUAAUUUGGGUUUACCUAUGUGGAUUUUCUUCUACACUGCAGAAGCAGCAACAGCAGUUCUUACUCUCAGUAUGUAUAAUAAGUACUGCUAACAAUUUCUGUUGCCACUUCUGGCUUCUUUUGUUUUGGUAUCUGUCUCUUUAAAUCAGACACAUGUUGAAAAUCCCAAGCAGUAGUUGCUAACGCAGCCUAUUACGCAAAAUGCAAAACAAAGCUGUAAACAAUACGACGGAACAAAUUACUGCAAGCAGCCUUCGGUAUGAGCCAACCUGCAGUCACAUGUGCAUGCAAAUGAGAUACUGUUGUGGGGUUCAGUCAAUGGUCCCAUGUACAGUACAUAUCUUUACAUCGUAUUUAUACACAAUCUGUAAAUGACAUGAAAAAUAGAAGCUAACUUUCACUUGUGUUAUUUUGUCAGGGAGGAUAUAGCUGGUGCAGUAAAGAAAAAUGACCGCCAGCCUCUCUGACUGUGGAAACUGGAAAAGUAUACGUGAUUUUUUGCUUAUCAAGUGAGGCCUCUGAAAUGGUAGAAGCCAAGGAAGAGAUGGCAGAGACAGUAUUUCCCCUGGGGGCUCAAGGAGUACAGCUGCUAUUACAGCUUGGCCUUCUGACCUCAGAUCUUUGUCCCUUAGCAGUAAAUUUUGUGACCAAUGAGUUAAAGUUAUCCCAUGGUGUCUCCUUGCCUUCUGAAACAGCCAGUUCAACAAACCUCUCGCCUCUGGAGGGAUGGAAGACUUACAUGUUUCAGAAUCAAACCUCUGAAAACCCAGAAAUAACUCUAGCCCAUGACCAGUAUUUUGUAGUCUACCAUCACCCUUUCCCUGGCGCCAGCAGUAGCCAGUGAUAACUUCCUGGCUGCAUUCACUGGAAUAGCUUGUAGCCAUGAUAUUAGUCAGAAGAGAGCUGUGCUUAUAAGCCCAGUGUAGAUAUGACAAAAAAAGAUGUAGCUGGGCCAUGUGUCUGUGCUGGGUGGGAGAUCCCUGGUGUCUCACCUGAACAAAUAGCCCUGGGUGCCUGUGAAGGGGGUCUGGCAUGGCUUCUUGCUGUGCUGCAGGGCAAUGCUGGUUGUGGCAGCUGUCAGCUAACUUCUUGCCGUGGGGAAGUCAUUGCAGCAAAAUGGGAAAUGGGUGUACAUGGUGAAGACUACUAUAGUUAGAAAUUGCAUUGCUUCCUUUACCUGCUUCUCCUUUUCUAUCUUCUACCCUUUGACAUCAAAUGGAGGUUAUAGUUGUGUUUUGAAGCGUUCCAUGUGUGUCACCUGUAACUCACUAGCCAAGAGCAAUGACAGUCCUGGGCUAUAUCCUGAAGCCUUGCCAUUUUAUUCCAGAGCAGUUAUAGAAAACAAAACUAUGGGAGAGGUGUCUCUCUUUCUCCAUCCACUAUCAUUUCCAGUUACCCUCCCCCUGACCCAGCCCAUUCAUCUAAUCUAUUCACAAGCGACAUGCUGACAAUGUCUUCUUGGUGGCUCGAUGUGUUGCACUUCAAGCACAAGUGAUGGCACACGUUUUUUUAGGUAGCCCAAAAUGAACAGUUUUCUAGGCCUAGGCAUCAGGCCUCUGCUGUGCUCUGACCUGCUGAACCCUUGUGGCCACCCGCGGCCCUCAGUGGCCUUAUUACUCAGGAUAUGAAUAUUCCGGAAAUACCUCAUCUCUUGUAAUCUGUACAUCUGACUUGAUCAUCUAUCCCGUUCUGUCCUCUUCUUCACUCACCUACUCUUCCAAAUCCUUUCUUGACUUCCAUGUACUUUGAACUCCUGCCCCUUCCAGUAAACAUCUAUGUAUCUACACUCUUUGUUUUUAAAUGGAUUGAGCAACUUCUGGAUUUUUUUGUCAGCCUUAGAUGAUAUUUUUCCAGAUAAAGUGAGGCAGAUGGCAGCACUGUGGGGGUUUUUUGUUUGUUUGUUUGUUCCACUUCCUGCCAAGAGUGAGAUCUGGAGUGACACAGGCUGUGGGUGUAGGUCAGGUGCAAGAGGUUCUGCAUGUCCCCUUGAGGUACCAACUUACAUGCAAAACUGGCAGGAUAAAUGUUAGCAGUGCAGUUUGUGUAUGUGUUAGGUAAUUCACCUGUUUUGUAUUGAGUGGGUGCCUGUUUAGGGAGCUAUGUUCUGUGCUCUUUGUUAUAAACUCUUGAGUUAAUGACACUUACCAACUUUCUUUCACCAAAAGGAGAGCAUGUGACAAGCUUGGGAAGGGGUGUCAAGCCAUUAGGACUGUCUGAACAAGUUCAGAGCUGGAGUUUGAUCUCAGAAAGGUCUGUGUAAACCUAGCAACCUUAAAGAAAGCUCUUCUCUUUUUGGGGGAGACGGAAGCUGUAUGUAUAUGUGGCUCAAAGACCACAAAAACAAAUCACUUGACAUACACGUCUCAUCCCUGUCAACCUAGACAAUAAAGAAGGUUUCAAGACA